CACCAAGAUGGCUUCCAGUAGGAGAAUGGGUACAUAAACUGUGGUCCAUCCAGACAACAGAAUACUGUUCAACACUAAAAAGAAAUGAGCUCUCAAGCCGUGAAAACACAUGGAGGAACCCUGACCCUGAAGCCUGGAGAAGCUGCCCCUCCUCUGGGAGCCACUGUGACAAACAGAGGGUCAAGUGGGAUGGCCCGGAAUGAGAAUAAAGGCUUUGAGACACUCGUGGUCACACCAGCCCCUCAGGGAGGGAAGAAUCAGAGUCUCCGGAUGGCAAGACGAAUGCAGUUCCAAGGGAAGAUAGCAGAAGUGUCCCUCCAGCUCUGCUCAUGUCCUGGCAAAAGGAGCUGAUCAGGCCAGCGUGUUCCAGGGCGGGACCCCUGCCAGGAGACCGAGCAGGGCCAGGGCGCCACGCACUGCUCUGGGGUCGGCAGGAAACUCAAGGGAGUCGCACGUGGGACCUGGUGGAGAAGCCGGCUGCUCCCAGGCAGCUUUGUGCAUUUGGUGGCUUCCGUGGAAACUCGUCAAACAGUUGGCACAAAUGCUUCCCUCCUCCAGCGACAGAGCUCACACUUCGGGAAACACUGAACUGCUCUGAAAUGUGAUAAUAUCGUCUGUCAAUUUCCGCACACAGAAUGCUGUUUUCUACAGCGAGAGUAUUUGUCUUGGCCUUCUGGAACUUUAUGGGCUUCUGGACCAAUGCUCUCCACUCCCUGGCUCCCGGGGGGAAGGCUUGUGGGGGUCGAUAGGGUAUGAGAGGGCAGGGCAAUGUGGGCCGAGGCAGUGGAGAGCUCAGAGGAGCAGCUCCCUCUCUGGGCUCAACUUGUGGCCGGGCGGGGGGCGGGUUCUGGGUACAUUCCUGAGCCCGGCAGCAGGCACAGCUGCUAGGCAGCAGCUGCAGAGCCCCAGAAUGGGGAGAGCAGGGCCUCUCCCUCCUCGGGCCGGGCAGACUACCACCAGCCCCCCAGCUGCAUUGUGGGCUAUAGUUGGCAGGGGCAGGCACUCAGCCCUCCCCCUGCAGUGAGUUUUGAGCAGGUGCGGUGGGGGCGGGUGUCUGAAGAGGGGAAGGACAAGAGGAACAAAAGUGCCGACGUGGCACUGGGCCUGGCCUCUGUGGGCUCUGAGAGGAGGACCCGGUCACAGUUCUGGUGCAUUUGUAAUUCAAGCCCGGCUUCUUCCCGCAGGAGGCAUUGCUGGAAUAGGAUGUGCGAGCAGGGGGCUGUGGAAGCUGAGUGCCGAGGAGACAUUGAGAGGUUCUGAGCAGGGUGAGGGCAAGAUCAGGAGGCAAUUCUACCUGGAGGGUCUCGGGAAGCUGGGUAGAGCACACACACUACAGGCUGUGUGGUGACCCAGGUGGGAGACCAUAAGGACAGGUCCAGGAAGGAGGUGGUAGAAAGGGCAUGAGGGCAGCAAUGGACGAUUCAGCCUUCCAUCGGCUCCCCUCUGUCCUCAGCCCUGGUGCAACAAUAUGUUCAAGGCUGUCCCCUCCCCUAGGAGUUGACUCCCAAGGGUGCUGGAGGACACCUGGGUUAUGUGAAAAGAAGUCUAAUGGAAAUACCUCUCAGGAUAGGAGUCUUCCCGCCUGAUGCCCUGAGGCUCUGGGAUGAUGGGAGUGCUUGAGCAGGUCAUUCCCAGGCCAUAGUGCUGGGUGGGUCCCUGCCCUCAGUCCCUCUUCCUGCUGUCCCAAGACUUCCAC